AACGCGAAGAACCUUACCUGGGCUCGAAGCGCAGUGGACCGGGGUAGAAAUAUCCCCUUUCGCAAGAACUGCUGCGGAGGUGCUGCAUGGCUGUCGUCAGCUCGCGUCGUGAGAUGUUGGGUUAAGUCCCGCAACGAGCGCAACCCUUGUCCUGUGUUGCCAUCAUUCAGUUGGGAACUCGCAGGAGACCGCCAGGGAUAACCUGGAGGAAGGUGGGGAUGACGUCAAGUCCUCAUGGCCUUUAUGUCCAGGGCUACACACGUGCUACAAUGGACGGUACAAAGCGCAGCAAACCCGCGAGGGGGAGCCAAUCGCAAAAAACCGUUCUCAGUUCGGAUUGCAGGCUGCAACUCGCCUGCAUGAAGCUGGAAUCGCUAGUAAUGGCAGAUCAGCACGCUGCCGUGAAUACGUUCCCGGGCCUUGUACACACCGACGCGUA
rnacentral:rRNA from 1 species